rnacentral:lncRNA from 1 species
GUCCGUAGUAUUUAUAAUGGCGGGCGCCGCGUUCGUGUCUUAUUUCGGCGUUUCUGCGGUGUCGUGGGUGUGUGCCGAGCGAAGUUUCGAAGAAAGCAUGUUCGAGCUGACCGGCCACAGGAGACCGGACUUUGUGAUCGGCAUGGCCUACCGUGUAUCGUGGCCUCUGCGGCGUCGGGAUUCUGGCUGAAUAAAAGUUCAGCAAUACUGCCAGUAGGCUGGGAACUUCUACAAAUGCAGCACUUGCAUAUUUCAGUGCCUCAGGAUUUCUGCGGUGCAAUGCCCGUGAGACACCAAGAGCUUCUUGUGAAAUCUGAGUAGCAGCAGGUGUACGUAAUGGAGGUGCAACUUGUGCCAGUGUGCUUGUUCAAUGGUUAAUAUGGCAGAUAGCAAGAGUCUGGCCUAUUUGCUGACCGCAAGUUGGGAUUGAUGUGCAGGAUAUAGAAUCUCUGCACCUUCCUAUGGUGCUUCCUGUGGAUCCUGCAGUUUUGAAAGGUAAGGUGUGUGGUUCCAGUUGUUGCCAUCAUCCUUCUCUGUGGAUUUUUUGAAUAAAAAGCUGCAGACAACUGAA